UAGAAAAGGAUAUUGCGGCCCACAUC
rnacentral:piRNA from 1 species